GAUGUCCCUUUUAAUGCUCUUUGGCAGCGCCUCUGUGCCGAUGUGGAACAGGCUCCGUUUCAGGCGCUGGAGUGGUAGAUGGCACGCAGUCCUCAGCGCGCACGCAGUUGGAGGAAUCCUCUCAAAGCGAGGACACUCCCGCAGCCAGCUCGGAGUGAGGAAUCCACACCGGCGUCCAGCCCAGGCUUCCUGCCGCCGCUGCAGGUUUCCUUUGUGCGCGCUGGGGCUGAGGAGUGAUGCGUGAAAGGCCGGCGCUUCUGCCUGCUGAGUGCUGUGAUCUAAAGGAAGCUGGGCGGGGAUGCAGUUCCGUGGGUUCCGACGCCUGCCUCACAAGCUCAAGGACCCCAGUUCGAUCCCCGGCACCAACAACAACAAAAAGGACGCACAGGAAGCAGUUUUCCUCGGAUUCUCCCCACCUCCUUUCUCUUCCGUGUCUUUCUCUUCUGAACCGAAUCCCAGAAAGCAGAAGUCCCCCUCCCCAAAGUGGUUCACAAGAACCAGAACCUCCCUUCCCUACACCCGCGAAGCCUAGGAAGAUAGCUCUGCCCACUCCCUCGGGGGCCUCCUCCAGGAGGGGUCCCGCCCACCUCGGAAGGAAGGAGGGCUGCACAGAGGCCAGAAGGAUGCUGAGGACAGGCCCUGCCCGGCUGCCCUGGGAGUCACCGUUAGCCCGCACCCCAUUGUCUGGUCCCACUCUAUGCUGUUGUCCCUUCUUCACAGACUCUGAGCCCCAAAAGAGCUGCCCCUGCGCCUUGGGUCUUCAUUUCUGAAGGUACCAGGGUUGCACCAAACCUUGAUUAAAUAAACUGUUAUGCUUUUCUCUCACUAGCCUGCCUGUUGUU